AUUGAACGCUGGCGGCAUGCUUUACACAUGCAAGUCGAACGGUAACAGGCCUUCGGGUGCUGACGAGUGGCGAACGGGUGAGUAAUGCAUCGGAACGUGCCCAAUCGUGGGGGAUAACGUAGCGAAAGUUACGCUAAUACCGCAUAAGCCCUGAGGGGGAAAGUGGGGGACCGCAAGGCCUCACGCGAAUGGAGCGGCCGAUGUCAGAUUAGCUAGUUGGUGGGGUAAAGGCCCACCAAGGCGACGAUCUGUAGCGGGUCUGAGAGGACGAUCCGCCACACUGGGACUGAGACACGGCCCAGACUCCUACGGGAGGCAGCAGUGGGGAAUUUUGGACAAUGGGCGCAAGCCUGAUCCAGCCAUGCCGCGUGCGGGACGAAGGCCUCGGUUGU
rnacentral:rRNA from 1 species